rnacentral:rRNA from 1 species
AACUUUCAACAACGGAUCUCUUGGUUCUGGCAUCGAUGAAGAGCGCAGCAAAAUGCGAUAAGUAAUGUGAAUUGCAGAAUUCAGUGAAUCAUCGAAUCUUUGAACGCACAUUGCGCCCGCCAGUAUUCUGGCGGGCAUGCCUGUUCGAGCGUCAUUU